GAAGGUUCCUCGGGGUCUCACUCCAGCUCUGGACCCCAGCGACCCGUUUGCAGAUGAAGCAAGAAGAGCGGCAAGAAGUCGAGGCUCUGGCCAGGAAAUUUGAGAGCAAAUAUGGAAGCACAGUUAAGAAGAAGAGACGAGACCGGAUGCAGGAUCUCGAUGAAACGGCUAUGAUGAAACGGAUCCGUUUAUCGACAACUCUGAGGCCUAUGACGAGCUCGUUCCCGCGUCUCUGACCACUAAACUGGGCGGUUUCUACAUCAACACCGGCACGCUGCAGUUCAGGGCCGCGUCUGAAUCCGAGGGAGAAGACGGCAGAAAAGACGCCAACCGCUUCAAGGUGAUCAUCUUCAU